rnacentral:rRNA from 1 species
UACGUAGGGUGCGAGCGUUGUCCGGAAUUAUUGGGCGUAAAGAGCUCGUAGGCGGCCUGUUACGUCUGCUGUGAAAGCCCGGGGCUCAACUCCGGGUCUGCAGUGGAUACGGGCAGGCUAGAGUCCGGCAGGGGAGACUGGAAUUCCUGGUGUAGCGGUGAAAUGCGCAGAUAUCAGGAGGAACACCGGUGGCGAAGGCGGGUCUCUGGGCCGGUACUGACGCUGAGGAGCGAAAGCGUGGGGAGCAAACAGG